ACAACAUUCGGACCGUCGGUCUACCGAGAAAUAUCACCCGCUUGGUGGAAAGAUCUUCCCCCUAUCUC
rnacentral:pre_miRNA from 1 species